AACGAAUCUUCACCCAGAGAGAGUAGAUCAUCACAGAGGAUAAUUGACUUGUAGCUUACCAGCCAUAAACUAUGCUGCCCAGCUUAAGUCCGUGCGGAGUUAUCUCAAGAACUUCCAUCCCCAACUGUUGAAUCUUUAAAUAUUCCAUUUGACUCUUAAAGCUAAAGUAAUAGUGACUAUCGCUGUUGUUGGAGAAGCUUUUGAAGCCGGGAUUAUCUGUGUGCUGCCCCUAUAGCUACUGGAUGAAAAAGGACUCCGUGGCCUCAAAGUUGUCCCAACUCUAAAUCUAGCAUCUUAUUCCAGCCCGUAUGUGAAUGAGAAUUUCCACUACAACAUACCGGAGAAGUGGUCAUGCAGCCUUUGUCUGAAUAUCUUUGAUAAAGUAAUAAUAGAAGAAAGGGAGACAACCAUCUACGUAUGAACUUACCAUCCCAUCGGAGCAGUUGGAAGUGGGGCUGGUGGGCUCAGAGCAGCUCUGCCCAGGUAGAGUGUAGUAGUUUUCGACCUGUUCCCUCAGCAGUUCUUGGAGGCUCUCGAUGUAUCUAAUGGCAUUUCUGAGG